GGAAAAUAAAUAAAUAAAUAAUAAUAAUAAAAGAAAUAAAAGGUAAAUGUUGCGGGCUGUUGUAAACAACAACAAUUCACGCAGCCGAGAAAAAAAAUAGAAAGGGUUGGAAUACUCACCUCCGCCGUCAAUGUAUUUCGUCCAGGUUUCCUUUUCUUCCUUGGUUUCCACUGCUACAAGAGCAAGAAAGUUAUAAUCAUCUUCUUGUUCUAGUGCAAGAAGGGAUUUGUUUUUUGUCUCAUCAUCCUCAGAUUCUUCAUCAGAUAAAUUCCCCAUUGCUGCAAAGGCCCUUUUCAUUGAGAUAUCUGCCUCUUAGGUUGUCAUUCUUCUAUUUGAGGGAACAAACUUAUCUUUCUUGAUGUCUUUGCCCUUCUCAGAGUUUGUCUUUUUCUUCUCUAAAGCCCAAAGUGGGCAGAAUUUGAUGCAGUAAUCUGGGCUUCCACACUUAUGACAAACCUGGUCUUUAGUGUUUUCAUUUGAUUUUUGAGGAGUUUUCUUUUGAAAGGCUUGUCCUUUUUUUAGCAUUCUGGUGAACCUUUUGGUUAUAAGGGUAAUAUUUUCUUCCUCAAAAUCAUCUGAUGCAAUAGCCUUUAGAACCAGGUUCCUUAUCUUCCUUUUUCCUCCAAUUUCCUUUUCUUGGUUUUUCUUGAGUUCGUAUGUGAUGAGAUUACCAAUUAACUCAUCCAUGGCCAGUGAAUCUAGGUCGCGGGCUUCAGUGAUAGCCUCGACUUUGCUUUCCCAAGUUUCAGGAAGGACACUCAAGAGUUUCUUUACUGCCUUUCCAUUAGGAACUAUCUCUCCCAAGAAGUACAUCUCAUUGAUGAUUGAAGUGAACCUGGUAGGCAUGUCUUGUAUGGUCUCCCCUUCUGCCAUCCUGAACAGUUCAUAUUGUCUGUUCAAGUUAUAAAUUUUGUACUUCUUGACUUGCGUUGUUCCUUCAUGAGCAGUUUGUAGUGUUUCCCAUAUGGUUUUGACAUCUUGAAAAGACUCAAUGACAGCACCACCUACCCUACAAGAGGGAGCUUCACAAACACGACCACCACUGUUUAAUGGAAAAUAUUAUGGAUGGUGGAAAAAUUGUAUGAUGGAUCAUCUUAUUGGCGAAAACCCUGAUCUAUAGGGAGUAAUUCUAGAUGGACCAACUAUAUCUAUGAAAAUUGCAACAAAUGGAAUCACCAAAAUCCCAAUUCUUGAUCUUCCUCAGACAAUGUCUAAAAAUAAAGAUACUGGAAAAUCUUCUAAUGAUUGGUUAGUUUGUCUCAUCAAUUGAGAUAGGAAUACCAAUGAAGUUUCUCCUCAAUGCAGUUCUGCUGGUAUUGUUGCAUAUACUCGGAGAACUCAAAAUCUCGUAUGCUGGCCAGAUAUUUACUCUACAACUCGGAAUGAGUAAUUUGUAACUUUUCCCGAUGAGUCUAAGGUCCUAACCCCAAACAGUCCAAUAUUUCUUUUCCAUUAAGUUAGUGAUUAAAUAAUCAGCCCUCUUGAUUAUAUAGUAAGAACUUCAUUUCAUUCUUUUCUCAUGACUGAUCACUGGAAAAAAAUAUCCCCUCAAACUCUCUUUCUCUCCAAAAGAAAAGAGGUAGUCUGUCAAACUUUCCUUCUUUCUAUACAAUCAUUGAUAACUGGAAAUCUCAUGAGCUCGUCUCCUUUCGAGAAAAGCAUUGAAAAACCACGCAUUAUGUUUCUGGAUUAAAUAUUCAUAACUGGUUAAAGUUUCCAUCGUAGUUUGACAUUUAUUAUCUAUACAUGUUGGAAAGCUCGAACACAUUGGACGUUAUGUGGAAAGCAUCCAGGUAUGUCUUCUUGAUCCAUAUGUGUGUCAACUUAUUUUUGAGAAUUAUCUUUAGAACAAUGUGAAUCAUCUGGACAACUUUAAGUGAGAUUAUUAUGUAAUGUGUUGUGCUACCCAUUUCAUAAUAAUGUUGGGUGUUUUUAACAAUGUAAAUCAUCUGGACAACUGUGAACCUGUAAUAUUAAAAUUGGAAUCUUCGGGUUGUUUCAGAAGUAAGCCUCCUAUAUUAAUAAAAGGUAGUGAGAGACUUGUGUUUUAGUCUUUUAUGUACAAUUUUUUUGGACAAGAAAUGGAUCAAAAUUGGCUAAUUACUUUAUUUAAGGAUUCUUAUAAUUAACAGAUUAUUUUAGUGUCUUGAUAGUAUAUCACUAAUCUCAUGUAGUAAAUUUAUGAUUUUAUGGCUUAACAGUUUUUGAACUGAAGUUACUGAGAAGUUCACACCUGGGUAGCAAAGGAAGAGUUCUUUUGUAAGCACAAGUUUUCAUGCACUUAGAUGUAUCUUCCUUUAUUAAAAUAUCCUUUUCAAUUGUUAUUUUUGUAACAAAACUUAAAUCUAGAUGGUUUGUCUAUUGUUAGUCGAAGUGAUCAUACCGAGUUUUCAACUAUUCUUAUCACUUGUAGAUUUAUAAUCUUGUAAAUUUUCUGGGAACAAUCAGUUUGCAUUUCUUGUGGGAAUAAAAUUUACUGCAUUAUUUUCUGUAGUUGUUAGGUCUUGAUAAUCAGAGAGUCUACUUUACUUGUAUAAAGUUGCUUAUACUCCUGCAAGCCUUAAAUUAUCAAAAUCUAUUGCACUGGAGGUCAGUCUCUUUACUCUAAUAGUUUUUAUUUCUUUUGAAGUUUCUAGGGUGAGAGGUUAAUAAGUUAGUGAUGGUGUUUGUGAUGUCUAACUACAGCUUAAGGAGUGAAGUUUUCUUCUUGUUGGUUGUUUAGAACGAGACAUGACGAUUCUUGUUGUCUCUUUUUUCUUUCUUACUUUCUUGCGUUAGUUACAUUUCUUUUGAGUCAAUGUCUAUUGAAAGCAACUUGUCUAUCCUACAACGGUGUAGAGGUAAUGUCUUUCUACAUUCGAUCCCUCAUAUUUCAUUUGUGAGAUUAAACUUGGAUAUGUUUUUGUAUAUAAUGAUAUCAUAACAUAUGAAAUCAUUUUUAUUUCUUUUAGACAGGUUGUGGAAGGUGGAUAUCGAGACUAGAGGCUAGUGAAGUGUUUUUGCAAUGGUAUUGUGAGAAGCAACCUCUAUUUUACUGCCUCAGUUUUGUUAACAUUUAGUAUAUCUUAGUUAGACUUUCAAGUUGGAGAAAUUUUACUUAAUAUAUUUUUUCUUAAGGGGAGCGUUGAGAUAUUAUAUCCUUAAUCUCAUUUUAGAUGUUCGUAAUUAAUAUAUGACAUUGUAAUAUUUUUUAUUAUUAUCUAUGAAUGUCAUUUUAGAUGUUCUUAA